rnacentral:lncRNA from 1 species
AAAAAUUGCUGUGGUGGAUAUCUCAAAUUUGUGUUGUAUUGUUUGGAUGUAUAUUAGAAUUUGUAGUUUAUUUUGAAAAUCUACCGGCAGCUUAUAACUUUCUUGGAUUCAUGUUGAUAUUUAUUGUACAUGGGUGGUUUUGUCUUUGCUUUCACAUAUGCAUUGGAUAUGAGGGCAGAGCUGGAUUUGGUAGAAGCAUGCAGUAGAAAUGUAAGGCUGUGUGGUUCUCAUCAGGUGUGUGUAGUCCGGUAUUGGUCCCGUGACUGCUGCAGAGCUGAGCACAGGGGCUCAUGCCUAUAGUUGGAGUUCUGAGUUCUAAGUAACUCAGUCUACAGUGUGAGACUUUGUCUCAAAAAGCCACCCUCCCACCAAAAAGAAAAAGAAAAA